rnacentral:misc_RNA from 1 species
UUUUCUCUCCUACCCAUUUAGUCAGUCUGCAAGGUUACACAAUAAUAAAAUUUAUUACUGCAAUCUUUAUAAGUUCUAAUGCUUUGUUCUUUUAUUUUGUUUUACAUGUAUGAUCAAGAUAUUAAUAAGUUGCACAAGUGAGUCACUUUCAGAGUCCUAUUGAUGAAAAAAAAAAUCUGAAGACUUAAAAUGACAAGACAUUUGAAAAAUAUUCAAAUUUCUGAAGUGAGCGCAAUCUAUCUUUGGGAUGAUUCAACCCUGUAAUUCAUCCUGAUGCCUUAGCAUGAUUUAAAUGUUUUAAUUUAAAGGUUGUUAUGGCAUAUGGCAUGUGCACAUCAUCUACAACCUUUUGGACAAUUAUUUCCUGCAAUUCUUCUUUUUAUGAGAUGAGAAACAAGAUAUACUUUUGCUCUUGUUGUAGUAGUUCACUUGUUACAAAGGACUUGUUAAACCAUUCUUCAACAUCUUGGGGGGAAAAAAAAAACCUGCUUGUAUAUUUGUGCCUAUUUGUGUAGGCUUAAGGGUGGGUGUGCAGCUGCACAUACCUGUUUGUUGAUUAAAGCAUUUUCAUCCGUUAAUUUAAGAAGAUGAGCAAAUUGUUACUCCAAAUGGGUUUUAAUCUAUUCUUAUUUAUUGUUAGAACCUAGAAUUAUAUUGCACAAAGGGCCUCUUAGGGGUUGAGGAGGCCAAAAGUGCAGCCUCCCAAACCAGUAAUGGAGCUUGCUGCAGGGGCCUCAUUGCUUGCUCAGUUUUGAGGUUGAUUGUAAAUGUUCUUCAUGGGGACAGUAUUCUGAAUUUUGUUUGCUUAGUUGUUCUUGCUUUUCUAAUUGAGACUGGACAUGCAAUGCUAUAAAUCAAAUUAUCAAAUCUAUUUUCAUGUACAGAUGAUUUAAGCUUUUCCAUAUUCAAAACCAAACAUAGUUUCAGAUUCUUUCAGGUCACGUAUUUAGAACCUGGUCAGAGCUCUGACAUUGAAACUAGAGGUGAUUCUAAAGUUAGAGUACAAGUGAUUGCAGGGCCAGUUCCGGGUCCUCCUUGGCAGCGCCCUGAGAAUGAUACCUAGUCAAUUCUCCACAAGGCCAAAUGACUCUUUACUAUGAGCCCCAUUGUGUAUAUAACAAGAAUUUUCUUGAGAAGGAGCAUGCUGACAUUGUUAUUACACCAGUCAUAAAGCAGCUUCUGCCAAAUUUUACUUUGGUUUCUGGACAAGUGGAUGCUGUCAAACUUGCAAAGUUGCUGCAUGCCAAGUGCACAGUCUUCACUGUGUUCUCUAUAGUUAUAUGAACAAUAUUUUAGUAGUAACUACAUUUUUUUUAUUGACUUGCUUCCCUCAUUUCCUAGGUUCAUUGUGCCAAUGAAAAAUGGGGACCUUGAUAGCAAAAGAUUUCUUGCCAGUGUCAUCCAGGCAGAAGGAACAGUAGAAUCAUUCAAGAUUGUUGAUGGGUGGAUGUUUCAAAUGUGGGUCUAUGGAUCACUUUCUAAAGGAUUGUCCACAAAGGAACACUAGUGCUCCCACUGCUACACCUCAGAUGGGGAGGUCUGCCCCAGCAGCACAGAGAGGUAGGAGACCUGCGAGGCCUGAUACAGCUGGUACAUCACAGAGGCCUACUGCAAAGAUAGUGCAGAAGCAGGAGACUAGGGUAGCACCUCAUGCUUAUGCUAUGAGAGGUCAAGAUGAGUUAGAGCCAGCUGAUGUCAUUAGAGGAGCUCUUGGCAAAGGAGCUACCAGAUACGCAGGUACUAGAGCCUACACCUGGUGUGCCACUAGAAGUGUCAGCACCUUGAAAUUUUCUGUCGCAAGCUGUCUUACCAUGGUCUCUCAAUGAAAAUACAGUUUCAUCAACUAUGUAAAUUCAGUUGGUUUUUAUUUGUUUAGCUAGUCGGUGGGUAUUCAAAUGACUCGAGUAUCAUCCACGAGAUCAAAAGAAAACCAAUGGAGAAGGUGGUUUUACGGUAACUUGAACUGGGUCUUCUCUUUUGAGCUCUGAGCCAUCUAUAUAGAGUGCACGGUACACCACACCUGCUUCUUUCAGGAAUUCUUGUUGGGUACACUGUUUAUGAACAUGAACAGAAUAUUUCUGCAAUUUACAUUUGUCUCGCCAGAAGUCAUUCUUCUGAUAAUGCAAUUCUACAGUGAUUAAAUACAUGUGCUUUGGCUUAAUAGUAUGAGACUCGCAUUCAGAACUAGACUCCAAAGUAUUAGACUCUGGUAUUGAGCUAGGCUUUGAAGUAAUGAAAAAAUGUGAUUAAUUAUCAUAUGGUUACGUUGCUUACAAUCAUGCAUUGUGCAAUCAUAAUCCUUUUAAUACCAUAUAUUUACCGAUGUGUCCACAAAAUAAUGGGAAAGUAAUCAUAAAUGAAAUGAUUUAAAACUUAGAAAUGCAUAUAUAUUUUAUACGUUUGUAUUGAUUAUAUAUAUGCACACGGAGUCGCUGUUGCCGCCACAAUCAAAUAGAAGCGGCCCUCAACAGAGUAACCAUAGAAGGAGAUUCCCACAUAGUGAUCCUAGCACUCCAACAAGGACCAGCCCCUGUGGCCGUCGAAGGGAUUGUUCAUGAUAUUCGUUGUCUGAGUGGUCGGUUGGAUUCAUUUUCUUUCAAGUUUGUGAAGAGGCCUGGCAACAUGGCAGCUCACAGCUUGGCCGACUCGGCGCCUCCUGUCUUCAUUCGGGGUAUUUUGUCUACAGCCCCUUGGAAUAAUUCAGCAUAUGCUCUCUAAUGCCAGCUUAAUGGCUUUAAUGAAUCAUCGUGUGUAUAUAUAUAAAGGAAUACUAUAUUAUACACAUAUAUAAAUGAUAAAUGAAAGAAUGAUCUUAUUCUGAUUAUAGUUUGGUAAUUGGAAUAUUCCUAUUUCCAGUUGUAGUUGAAGUGGCAUUAUUCCACCAGAUCAAUCGAUAAAUGAGUUUAUAAUAAGUUUUAAUACAAUGGCAUGAACCAUUUGGCCUUUAUGUACACUGAAGAGACACAUUAGUUUG